AUGUUUGCUUCGGCAGCACAUACGCUAUAAUUGGAACGAUGCAGAGAAGAUUAGCAUGGCCCCUGCACAAAGCUGACACACAAAUUCGUGAAGCAUUCCAUAUUUUU
ensembl:snRNA U6 U6 spliceosomal RNA